rnacentral:rRNA from 1 species
AGGCAUGCGGCAGCUAUACAUGCAAGUCGAACGCUUUGUGGUUCAACUGAUUUGAAGAGCUUGCUCAGAUAUGACGAUGGACAUUGCAAAGAGUGGCGAACGGGUGAGUAACACGUGGGAAACCUACCUCUUAGCAGGGGAUAACAUUUGGAAACAGAUGCUAAUACCGUAUAACAAUGACAACCGCAUGGUUGUUAUUUAAAAGAUGGUUCUGCUAUCACUAAGAGAUGGUCCCGCGGUGCAUUAGCUAGUUGGUAAGGUAAUGGCUUACCAAGGCGAUGAUGCAUAGCCGAGUUGAGAGACUGAUCGGCCACAAUGGGACUGAGACACGGCCCAUACUCCUACGGGAGGCAGCAGUAGGGAAUCUUCCACAAUGGGCGAAAGCCUGAUGGAGCAACGCCGCGUGUGUGAUGAAGGGUUUCGGCUCGUAAAACACUGUUGUAAGAGAAGAAUGACAUUGAGAGUAACUGUUCAAUGUGUGACGGUAUCUUACCAGAAAGGAACGGCUAAAUACGUGCCAGCAGCCGCGGUAAUACGUAUGUUCCAAGCGUUAUCCGGAUUUAUUGGGCGUAAAGCGAGCGCAGACGGUUAUUUAAGUCUGAAGUGAAAGCCCUCAGCUCAACUGAGGAAUUGCUUUGGAAACUGGAUGACUUGAGUGCAGUAGAGGAAAGUGGAACUCCAUGUGUAGCGGUGAAAUGCGUAGAUAUAUGGAAGAACACCAGUGGCGAAGGCGGCUUUCUGGACUGUAACUGACGUUGAGGCUCGAAAGUGUGGGUAGCAAACAGGAUUAGAUACCCUGGUAGUCCACACCGUAAACGAUGAGUGCUAGGUGUUUGAGGGUUUCCGCCCUUAAGUGCCGCAGCUAACGCAUUAAGCACUCCGCCUGGGGAGUACGACCGCAAGGUUGAAACUCAAAGGAAUUGACGGGGACCCGCACAAGCGGUGGAGCAUGUGGUUUAAUUCGAAGCAACGCGAAGAACCUUACCAGGUCUUGACAUCCCUUGACAACUCCAGAGAUGGAGCGUUCCCUUCGGGGACAAGGUGACAGGUGGUGCAUGGUUGUCGUCAGCUCGUGUCGUGAGAUGUUGGGUUAAGUCCCGCAACGAGCGCAACCCUUAUUACUAGUUGCCAGCAUUCAGUUGGGCACUCUAGUGAGACUGCCGGUGACAAACCGGAGGAAGGUGGGGAUGACGUCAAAUCAUCAUGCCCCUUAUGACCUGGGCUACACACGUGCUACAAUGGCGUAUACAACGAGUUGCCAACCCGCGAGGGUGAGCUAAUCUCUUAAAGUACGUCUCAGUUCGGAUUGUAGGCUGCAACUCGCCUACAUGAAGUCGGAAUCGCUAGUAAUCGCGGAUCAGCACGCCGCGGUGAAUACGUUCCCGGGUCUUGUACACACCGCCCGUCACACCAUGAGAGUUUGUAACACCCAAAGCCGGUGGGGUAACCUUCGGGAGCCAGCCGUCUAAGGUGGGACAGAUGAUUAGGGUGAAGUCUAGAAGUGGCUUGUUCCA